GUGCUCGCUUUGGCAGCACAUAUACAAAAACUGGAACAAUACAGAGAAGAUUAGCAUGGCCCCUGUACCAGGAUGGCACGCAAAUUCAUGAAGCAUUCCAUAUUUUU
rnacentral:snRNA from 1 species